UACAGAGACUCCAAGCGUUAUUCGGAUUCACUGGGCGUAAAGGGUGCGCAGGCGGUCGUGUGUGUCAGGUGUGAAAUCCCGGAGCUUAACUCCGGAACUGCGCCUGAAACUACACGACUAGAGCAUUGGAGAGGGAAGUGGAAUUCAUGGUGUAGCAGUGAAAUGCGUAGAUAUCAUGAGGAACACCAGAGGCGAAGGCGACUUCCUGGACAAUUGCUGACGCUCAGGCACGAAAGCAUGGGGAGCAAAAGGG
rnacentral:rRNA from 1 species